GGACAGCUGUGCCGAUAGUGUUUUACGGAGAUGAUUGGAGCUGUGUGGCGGGGGCCGUUGAGGGGCAAUGAAGCGGAUUUGACUCUGUAAGGUGUUAAGUCUUGCACGUGAUGGGCUUAAAGUUUGGCCCUGGUUUUUUUUUGGUUGGUGGCUUUUUGUUGUUGGUUUUUUUUUUUUUUUUUUUUUAAAUGGCAGGCUGUAGUUGGACUCCAGAUGGUCUUCGUAGAUGGAAUCCAGACCUCUGGAGUUGUUAAGCUCUUGCUCUGCAUCCAGGCGACUUGUUCGAUAUGUUUUUUUUUUUUUUUUUUUUUUUUCCCCAGAUGCGGCAGGGCAAGAUGCGUGCCACAGAGCAACAGGGGAAGGCAGCGGAGUGCCGUAAGGAGGUGAUGACAGGGCACGAGGUACUUGAAGGAACCUUGCGUUUAGGUGACAUGGCUGCUAUGGAGGUUGGACUGUGACACGUGGCACUGUGAAAGCUAAGUAUGGGGUUGAAAAUGCACGGAUGGUGGUGUGUUGAAACAUUGGUGUAAUGGAAGGGUAGUUUGUGGGGAGUUUGGAAGGAGCUUGGGCUCGGGCCAGGUUUUUGCAGGUAGGGUGGUUUUUGAGUCCCCCAGUGCCGCAGGCACGGGGUGAUAGCCCCUUGAGACCUGUGGGUGGUAGGAUGGAUGAGUUGAGAGUGAGGGCUGGCGUGCAUGUGAUCUUAAUGAGUGGUGUGUUGUGAAUGUGUGUAACCUUGUAGGGUUAUGUGGUUUAGCCUUGUUAUGUUUUUUCCUUUCAGGUUGGAUGUAGAGUUGAGAUGUUUUUCAGGGAAAUAGAAAAAAAAAAAACUUAGAAU